rnacentral:hammerhead_ribozyme from 1 species
AUCAACACUGACGAGUGCCAAAUAGGACGAAACGCGCGUCAAGCUGGAU